CAAAGAAUAGUUUAUAAAAAUAAUAAUUUUGGGGAUUAUAGAUAAAGAAAAAUCUUUUUCUUUGA
rnacentral:tRNA from 1 species